CAGUAGCCGCGGUAACACGUAGGGUGCAAGCGUUAAUCGGAAUUACUGGGCGUAAAGCGUGCGCAGGCGGUUAUAUAAGACAGAUGUGAAAUCCCCGGGCUCAACCUGGGAACUGCAUUUGUGACUGUAUAGCUAGAGUACGGCAGAGGGGGAUGGAAUUCCGCGUGUAGCAGUGAAAUGCGUAGAUAUGCGGAGGAACACCGAUGGCGAAGGCAAUCCCCUGGGCCUGUACUGACGCUCAUGCACGAAAGCGUGGGGAGCAAACAGGAUUAGAUACCCCAGUAGUCCCUGUCUCUUAUAA
rnacentral:rRNA from 1 species